GACAAGUUGUCAAUGGCUUGUUGACAACUUGCUACAAGGUUGCUGAGCUCAACAGACUUGUUACAAGUUGUUCCAACAACUUGUUAUCGUCCUGCAAUUCAGCAACUUGUCAACAAGUUGUGAGUGACAACCUUGUAGCAACUUGAUAAAAUAACAGCAUUGUUACAACUUGUUGGCAAGCUUGCCACAAGCCUGUUGCGAACACAUCUUGUUGACAAGUUGACAAGAGAUUUUCAC